GUGGGGAAUAUUGGACAAUGGGCGAAAGCCUGAUCCAGCCAUGCCGCGUGUGUGAAGAAGGUCUUCGGAUUGUAAAGCACUUUAAGUUGGGAGGAAGGGCAGUAAGUUAAUACCUUGCUGUUUUGACGUUACCGACAGAAUAAGCACCGGCUAACUUCGUACCAGCAGCCGCGGUAAUACGAAGGGUGCAAGCGUUAAUCGGAAUUACUGGGCGUAAAGCGCGCGUAGGUGGUUUUGUAAGUUGGAGGUGAAAUCCCUGGGCUCAACCUGGGAACUGCCUCCAAAACUGCAUGACUAGAGUACGGUAGAGGGUAGUGGAAUUUCCUGUGUAGCGGUGAAAUGCGUAGAUAUAGGAAGGAACACCAGUGGCGAAGGCGACUACCUGGACUGAUACUGACACUGAGGUGCGAAAGCGUGGGGAGCAAACAGGAUUAGAAACCCCUGUAGUCC
rnacentral:rRNA from 1 species